CCUUCGGGAACUCUGAGACAGGUGCUGCAUGGCUGUCGUCAGUCGUGUUGUGAAAUGUUGGGUUAAGUCCCGCAACGAGCGCAACCCUUAUCCUUUGUUGCCAGCGGUUCGGCCGGGAACUCAAAGGAGACUGCCAGUGAUAAACUGGAGGAAGGGGGGGAUGACGUCAAGUCAUCAUGGCCCUUACGAGUAGGGCUACACACGUGCUACAAUGGCAUAUACAAAGAGAAGCGACCUCGCGAGAGCAAGCGGACCUCACAAAGUAUGUCGUAUUCCGGAUCGGAGUCUGCAACUCGACUCCGUGAAGUCGGAAUCGCUAGUAAUCGUAUAUCAGAAUGCUACGGUGAAUACGUUCCCGGGCCUUG
rnacentral:rRNA from 1 species